UCACUUUUCGCGGGGAUCGUUUUUUUCGUGAUUGAGACUCAAUGUCAAGACGGCUUGGGUAUUUAAACCCCGUCUGGACAGCAAGUCAAGGUCUUCCAUUUGUUUGCUCUCUUUAGAAAGAGGAAAAACGUUCGUAGUGAUUUUCAAGCACUAAUAAUGGCUACAAGAAUUUUUAUACUCGUUCUCGCAGUUGUGACAGUGUUCGUACAAUCAGUAAAAUCAGACGAACUUAAUUUCCUCGAAGAAGAUGUGUGCUCCGCACCCUCUUUUACUCUACGUCCUAAUAGAUGGCCUCAGUGGUAUGUAACUAUGGGGUCUCAUCCAAACGGGAAACUUCAUGGAACUCACGGAUUCAUGUCUCUUGGUGAUGGUCGCAAAUUUAAUUUUGAACGCAUCAAGGCAAACGAACCAUAUUUCUACAUUACAUCAAAGAAAUGGGAUGAACGGUAUGUUUACAUGACAGAUUCAUCACAAGGUUUGAUUCAGUCGACCAUUACAAAGCCAGGUGCGGAAGGCGAGUGGAAAAUCGAGGAGGUAUCCGGAGGAGAAUACGCAUUUUUCCCAAGAAAAUGGCCAAACUGGCACAUGUGUAUGAAGAAUGACUUUAUCGGUACUAUGCAAGGUUGUAAAAAUUCUAUCGGCCGAGAGGGACGUUUUAAAUUGGACGCAAAUUAAAAUAUGGAACAGAUAACACAAAGUUACUCCAUUUAAAAAAAUUUUGACCUUUUGUUAUUCAAAUCUAUGAAUAUAAAAUAAAAAUGUAUUUUUUAA